UUCUCAGCCUCCAAAGACCUUACAGACUUCCUUCUCUGUGGCAAUCUCAUUUUGGAGGCCACUGUCCUAAAGAGAGGAGGGAAAUCGGUCAAGAGGAUAGAGAGGGAUGAGAGAUGGAUGGAAGUGAAGAGGAGAGGUGGGUUUAGGAGUGUUUUUCAUAGAUUUUGUAGGUUAGGGUUUGAAAUUUGGUGGAGAUCUGGAGGGUAAGCC
rnacentral:lncRNA from 1 species